AGGACGAACGCUGGCGGCGUGCCUAAUACAUGCAAGUCGAACGCUUCUUUCCUCCCGAGUGCUUGCACUCAAUUGGAAAGAGGAGUGGCGGACGGGUGAGUAACACGUGGGUAACCUACCCAUCAGAGGGGGAUAACACUUGGAAACAGGUGCUAAUACCGCAUAACAGUUUAUGCCGCAUGGCAUAAGAGUGAAAGGCGCUUUCGGGUGUCGCUGAUGGAUGGACCCGCGGUGCAUUAGCUAGUUGGUGAGGUAACGGCUCACCAAGGCCACGAUGCAUAGCCGACCUGAGAGGGUGAUCGGCCACACUGGGACUGAGACACGGCCCAGACUCCUACGGGAGGCAGCAGUAGGGAAUCUUCGGCAAUGGACGAAAGUCUGACCGAGCAACGCCGCGUGAGUGAAGAAGGUUUUCGGAUCGUAAAACUCUGUUGUUAGAGAAGAACAAGGACGUUAGUAACUGAACGUCCCCUGACGGUAUCUAACCAGAAAGCCACGGCUAACUACGUGCCAGCAGCCGCGGUAAUACGUAGGUGGCAAGCGUUGUCCGGAUUUAUUGGGCGUAAAGCGAGCGCAGGCGGUUUCUUAAGUCUGAUGUGAAAGCCCCCGGCUCAACCGGGGAGGGUCAUUGGAAACUGGGAGACUUGAGUGCAGAAGAGGAGAGUGGAAUUCCAUGUGUAGCGGUGAAAUGCGUAGAUAUAUGGAGGAACACCAGUGGCGAAGGCGGCUCUCUGGUCUGUAACUGACGCUGAGGCUCGAAAGCGUGGGGAGCAAACAGGAUUAG
rnacentral:rRNA from 1 species